rnacentral:snRNA from 1 species
GGGUGUGAGGGUGAUCUGGCUGCGACAUCUGUCACCCCAUUGAUCGCCAGGGUUGAUUUGGCUGAUCUGGCUGGCUAGGCAGGUGUCCCCUUCCUCCCUUAACGCUCCAUGUGUGUCCCUCCCAAAGCUUAGUCAAAGAGGACAGCCUUCCCCUGUAGAACCUCCAAACAAGAAUAGCUAGUUCUGUUCAAGAGUAGCUCAG